AUUGCCUUAGUACGGCGAGUGAAGCGGCAAAAGCUCAAAUUUGAAAUCUGGUACCUUUGGUGCCCGAGUUGUAAUUUGGAGAGUACCACUUUGGGACUGUACUUUGCCUAUGUUCCUUGGAACAGGACGUCAUGGAGGGUGAGAAUCCCGUGUGGCGAGGGUGUCAGUUCUUUGUAAAGGGUGCUCGAAGAGUCGAGUUGUUUGGGAAUGCAGCUCUAAGUGGGUGGUAAAUUCCAUCUAAAGCUAAAUACAGGCGAGAGACCGAUAGCGAACAAGUACAGUGAUGGAAAGAUGAAAAGAACUUUGAAAAGAGAGUGAAAAAGUACGUGAAAUUGUUGAAAGGGAAGGGCAUUUGAUCAGACAUGGUGUUUUGCGCCCCUUGCCUCUCGUGGGCUUGGGACUCUCGCAGCUCACUGGGCC
rnacentral:rRNA from 1 species